rnacentral:rRNA from 1 species
CCAAUAGCGUAUAUUAAAGUUGUUGCAGUUAAAAAGCUCGUAGUUGAAUUUCGGGAUUGACACAUCGGUCGUGCCUUAAGGGGUAUGAACUGGUGUAGUCAGUUUCUCACCUUCUGGAGAACCGCGAUGUCCUUAAUUGGGUGCCGUGAGGAACCAGGACCUUUACUUUGAAAAAAUUAGAGUGUUUAAAGCAGGCAUUUUGCUUGAAUACAUUAGCAUGGAAUAAUAAAAUAGGACGGAUGGUUCUAUUUUGUUGGUUUCUAGGAUCACUGUAAUGAUUAAUAGGGAUAGUUGGGGGCAUUAGUAUUCAAUUGUCAGAGGUGAAAUUCUUGGAUUUAUUGAAGACUAACUACUGCGAAAGCAUUUGCCAAGGAUGUUUUCAUUAAUCAAGAACGAAAGUUAGGGGAUCGAAGACGAUCAGAUACCGUCGUAGUCUUAACCAUAAACUAUGCCGACUAGGAAUCAGACGAUGUUAAUUUUUUAAUGACUCGUUUGGCACCUUACG